rnacentral:rRNA from 1 species
UAAUACGAAGGGGGCUAGCGUUGCUCGGAAUUACUGGGCGUAAAGCGUGCGCAGGCGGCUUUGCAAGACAGAUGUGAAAUCCCCGGGCUUAACCUGGGAACUGCAUUUGUGACUGCAUGGCUGGAGUGCGGCAGAGGGGGAUGGAAUUCCGCGUGUAGCAGUGAAAUGCGUAGAUAUGCGGAGGAACACCGAUGGCGAAGGCAAUCCCCUGGGCCUGCACUGACGCUCAUGCACGAAAGCGUGGGGAGCAAACAGGAUUAGAUACCCUGGUAGUCCACGCCCUAAACGAUGUCAACUGGUUGUUGGACGGCUUGCUGUUCAGUAACGAAGCUAACGCGUGAAGUUGACCGCCUGGGGAGUACGGCCGCAAGGUUG